rnacentral:rRNA from 1 species
UGGGGAAUAUUGGACAAUGGGCGAAAGCCCGAUCCAGCAAUGCCGCGUGAGUGAUGAAGGCCUUAGGGUUGUAAAGCUCUUUUACCCGGGACGAUAAUGACAGUACCGGGAGAAUAAGCCCCGGCUAACUCCGUGCCAA